CCCGCGCCCGGGGCUAUCGGUACUGACCCAGAUCCGCCCAGAUCUGCAGAGAUCCCAUCCCCUCUCCUCCCAGCUGAAGGCAGCACUUCCUCAAGACGUCAAAACCAGAUCUGAGCCCGUUCGCAGCUCGUGAAAAUACUUUGUACUUCCUCUUGCUGUUUUGAGGGUUAAAUAAGGUUAAAAGUUGCAAGAGUGGUGGAGCAGCGCUUGGUCUCCCCCUUCCCUAAAAGACAAGUCUGAAGAACAGUCACAUGGAAAACUGGAACCAGGAGAGAGAACUGAACCUCAGAUUCUCAGCAGCUUAAUGUUCUCUUAUUUUUCUGGGGCAUGCCUUCUGACUGCUGUGUAAUGGGCAUGUCUUUAGCUGGAUGCUUUUAUAAAAGAAGAGGCAGCUGUCACCGAUCAUCUGGAAAUAUUCUGACUCCAUUAGUGCAUGUUAUGUGUAUGCACUCAGAUUGUCUGCACUGAAUGCAUCAAGGACAGAAGAAUAUUUUGAUUCUUGAUACAGAUAGUAAUUAGGAGCUAGAAAAGUCCAACUUUUAAAUCCUGCCAAAACAAAGGGACUGUUAUAUAUUGAUGAAAUGAACUGUAGAACAUCUACAUAGCUUUAGCAUCACAUACUGCACUAAAGACUGAAGUUGAACAGGCUGUAGUGGCAUGGCAGGCAAGUGACACAUUUCAGAUUCUCAGCUUUGCACAAUCAUGUUAGAGACCAGGAAAUAAUUGUUUAACUGGCUACUUUUAUAUUAUCCAAGCCAACAGUAGCUAUCUGUGCUAAACUGUUAUGCUAGUGGUGGCAUGAGACAAAUCAAGUUUGAGGCACAUCGGUAGGUUUCAGAUUCCUCAAUGAAGUCACCUCUUACUCCUUGGACUUUGUGAGGGAUCUCAUAUAGUGCCCAAGUUUUGUCUUUGAAGAAGUGCAGGACUCCCAUUAAAAUUCUGUCUCAUGGCUACCAGCCCCAUCCCAAUGUUUCAAACACCUGAAGCUUUCUCAGAUGAAAGAAUGCGCUUGCAUUUACACAUGUGAAUUGUGCCUCUAAAUGUAGGUAUGCAGACACCUGCAUGUUAUUAGAUGUUAAUUAGGUGUCUGUUCUCCCAUUAGUCAGGAGUAGGGUCCAGGCCUGAUGCUUUCAUACACUUGUCUUGCAUAUUAUGAGAAACAGGUAGGUGCCUACAGUCAGUUCCCUGGUGAGCCAUACAAUGGACCAUCCACAAAGAGGCUGUGUUAUCACAAAUCAAAGCUACCCAGGCUCUGUUGACACAGGUCCUGAUCCACAGGUAGGAUAAGCAGAUGUAUUCAGGGCUUCUUAAGGUGCACUUGGGUAUCAUGCCUUGUUUUCUACUGCUCUUCAAAAGCAUCAGAUCUCUUGUAGGUCCUUGUGACCUAUCUCAGGUAACUCAGAAUGCCCAUUGCUAUGCAAAUGAAUGUGUCUUAACUACAGUAGAACCUUAGACACCUAGCUGAAGACACCUUCAUACAGACAUCUAAAAUUUAAGAGCCUGAAUCCCACACUGAAUCUCAUCCAAACCAGUCUGCAAUCUCAAAUGUCAGGCAAAUUGAACACUUUUUUUUUUUUUUUUUUUUUAAGAUUCUGCCCUUAUAACAUCUGCUGUAUUUUGAAUGCUGUCACAGUUUUGAGUUUUUUUGGUUUGUUUUUUUUUUUUUUUUUGUGGGUUGGUUGGUUGGGUUUUUUUUGGUUGUAUUUUUAUCAGGAAUGAUUCAUCAAGUCACUUACAAUGUUGGCAGAUACUUGAAUUUUUGUCUACCUGGAAGAGAAUUGUUUAGUCUUUUGUAGAGGUUGAUGCCUUGCAAGUCUUGAAAUUCAUGGCUUUGUGCAAAAUUGCACUAACAGUCAUCUGGAUGCAAACAGCAGUCUCAGAACAGAUGGGAAUAUGAGCUUUCAGCUUUUGAUGUUUAGCUUGCUAAGCAGAACUAAUGUAUUUAUCUAGCAGUUUUCUUAAGCAUUGCAUGUAGGAAUCAAUUUGUGAAUAAAAGGACAUCUUUCUUAAUGCUCAUUUUAGCUUUGCGCAGACUGAAAUGAAGAAGGUUAGUAUGAAGAGCAUUCCUUGGAAAAAGAAAGAUUUAAACCUCAGUUCAGAGGUUACCAAAUUCAAGGGGAAGUGUCUUCAAUUUCAGUGGCCAUUGAAUCAGGCCCUUAAUCAUAUCCUCAGUUUGGAAGUACUUUAUUUUUGUGGUUAACUCAGAAAAAAAAGGAUAAUGCUAAUAUAUUCUAUGAAGUAAACUAUAUGAAUAUUCAGUAGGAUCCUGUCAUCACUUGCAUAAUUCAUGGUACCAGUGAUAUUGUUUGGAAUUGUAGCUGUUCAUCACUUGUGAAGAUGAACUUCAGUGCUAUUUUGGAAUUUAGGGACAGAAUUUUCUUCUCUGAAAUUUUCUGCUGAAAAUUAGCAAUAAAGCCUUUUGAGACAAACAGAGGGAGCAGAGAAGGGAGUUAAUCUAUUAUUUUAUGACUCUGAAUUGUGUCUGAAAUUGUUUCUUAUGACAGAAUUAUGCGGCUGUGGUUUUGUCAGUAUUUUUCUCUCUUCUUGGGACAAUCAUUAGUAAGGGAGCAGAGAUAUCUUCUUCAUCUCAAUUGUUGUAAAUAUAGUCAGCUUGAAGAGCUUGCUUUCUCAGCAUACAUUGAGCCUUUACUACAGUAAGCCCUCCAGUUUAUUUCUUGUAUCAACUGAUGCAUGACAUUGGAAGAAGCAUGGGCAGCCUGAUCUUUGCUGACAAGGGACCAACCAUGACAGAUUAGAGCAGCUACGCCACUCACUGAAAAUGCAGCAGUCUCAGCUGGAAAUCUGACCUGUAUUUAUCUACCUGUUUGGAAGUCAGUAUAUAGAAAAUAAAAUCCCCUUUAAAAGACACA